rnacentral:rRNA from 1 species
GAAUCUGCCUUUAGGUCCGGGACAACCACUGGAAACGGUGGCUAAUACCGGAUGUGCCGCAACGUGAAAGGGGAAACCCGCCUGAAGAUGAGCUCGCGUCUGAUUAGCUAGUUGGUGAGGUAAAGGCUCACCAAGGCGACGAUCAGUAGCUGGUCUGAGAGGAUGACCAGCCACACUGGGACUGAGACACGGCCCAGACUCCUACGGGAGGCAGCAGUGGGGAAUUUUCCGCAAUGGGCGAAAGCCUGACGGAGCAAGACCGCGUGAGGGAAGAAGGCUCUUGGGUCGUAAACCUCUUUUGUCAGGGAAGAACACAAUGACGGUACCUGACGAAUCAGCCUCGGCUAACUCCGUGCCAGCAGCCGCGGUAAUACGGAGGAGGCAAGCGUUAUCCGGAAUGAUUGGGCGUAAAGCGUCCGUAGGUGGCUAGUCAAGUCUGCGGUCAAAGACUGGGGCUUAACCCUGGAAAGGCCGUGGAAACUGACGAGCUAGAGUGCAGUAGGGGUAGAGGGAAUUCCCGGUGUAGCGGUGAAAUGCGUAGAGAUCAGGAAGAACAUCGGUGGCGAAAGCGCUCUACUGGACUGCAACUGACACUCAGGGACGAAAGCUAGGGGAGCG